rnacentral:rRNA from 1 species
AACGAACGCUGGCGGCAUGCCUAACACAUGCAAGUCGAACGAGACCUUCGGGUCUAGUGGCGCACGGGUGCGUAACGCGUGGGAACCUGCACUUAGGUUCGGAAUAACUCCCCGAAAGGGGUGCUAAUACCGGAUAAUGUCUUCGGACCAAAGAUUUAUCGCCUUUGGAUGGGCCCGCGUUGGAUUAGCUAGUUGGUAGGGUAAAAGCCUACCAAGGCGACGAUCCAUAGCUGGUCUGAGAGGCUGAUCAGCCACACUGGGACGGAGACACGGCCCAGACUCCUACGGGAGGCAGCAGUGGGGAAUAUUGGACAAUGGGCGAAAGCCUGAUGCAGCAAUGCCGCGUGAGUGAUGAAGGCCUGAGGGUUGUAAAGCUCUUUUACCCGGGAUGAUAAUGACAGUACCGGGAGAAUAAGCUCCGGCUAACUCCGUG